UGUAGCAGCUAUAUCACCCUGCAACUCACAACUAGCAGCCCACUGAAGCUAAGCAGGUGUGAGCCUGGUCAAUACCUGGAUGGGAGACCUCCUGGGAAAAACUAAGGUUGCUGCUGGAA
rnacentral:rRNA from 1 species